UGGGGAAUAUUGGACAAUGGGCGCAAGCCUGAUCCAGCCAUGCCGCGUGUGUGAAGAAGGCCUUUUGGUUGUAAAGCACUUUAAGCGAGGAGGAGGCUACUUGGAUUAAUACUCUAGGAUAGUGGACGUUACUCGCAGAAUAAGCACCGGCUAACUCUGUGCCAGCAGCCGCGGUAAUACAGAGGGUGCGAGCGUUAAUCGGAUUUACUGGGCGUAAAGCGUGCGUAGGCGGCUUUUUAAGUCGGAUGUGAAAUCCCUGAGCUUAACUUAGGAAUUGCAUUCGUUUCUGGGCAGCUAGAGUAUGGGUGCGGAUGGUAGACUUCCAGGUGUAGCGGUGAAAUGCGUAGAGAUCUGGGGGAAUACCGAUGGCGAAGGCAGCCAUCUGGCCUAAUACUGACGCUGAGGUACGAAAGCAUGGGGAGCAAACAGG
rnacentral:rRNA from 1 species